rnacentral:rRNA from 1 species
AACGAACGCUGGCGGCGUGCCUAGCACAUGCAAGUCGAGCGAGAAAGUCCGCAAGGAUGAGUAAAGCGGCGCACGGGUGCGUAACACGUGAGUAAUCUUCCUUCGAGUUCGGAAUAACUCCCGAAGGGGUGGCUAAUACCGGGUAAGACCACGGGAGCUACGGCUUCUGAGGGAAAAGGUGGCCUCUGUAUACAAGCUAUCGCUUGAAGAUGAGCUCGCGGCCCAUCAGCUAGUUGGCGGGGUAACGGCCCACCAAGGCUACGACGGGUAGCUGGUCUGAGAGGACGAUCAGCCACACUGGAACUGAGACACGGUCCAGACUCCUACGGGAGGCAGCAGUGGGGAAUCUUGCGCAAUGGGCGAAAGCCUGACGCAGCAACGCCGCGUGUGUGAUGUAA